AUAUAGUUUGUAUAUUGAAUUGUUAUUAAAAGUUUGAUUUUAGCUUGAAAUUUUAGUGUAAAAUUUAUUUAUAUGUAAGUUAUAGCAUGGUAAUUUAGAUAAUAUAUAUAUAUAUAGCAGUAAUUAAUUUUAAGAAUAAAAGUAAUUUUGACUUAGAAAUUUUUAAAAGAUUAAACUAAUUUUGUGCCAGCAGUUGCGGUUAAACAAAAUAAUCAAUUAAAAUUUAUUAAUUAAUAAUAAAUUAUUAUAAGAUAAUUAUAAAUUAACUUUAUUAGGUGAAAUUUUAAAUUUAAUUAAAAUUAUUUAUUUAAAAUUAUUUAUGAAAUUUUUAGAAUAAACUAGGAUUAGAUACCCUAUUAUAAAAAAUUUAAAUUUAAUGAUUGAUUAGUAUUAGUUAUGUUCUUGAAAAUUAAAAAAUUUGGCGGUAUUUUAGUCUAUUCAGAGGAACCUGUUUUAUAAAUGAUAUUCCACGAUUAAAUUGUCUUAUUUUAUUAGUUUGUAUAUCGUCGUUAUUGAAUAUUUUUUAAGAAUUAGAAUAUUCGAGAGGUUUUAAAAAAAAUUAAAUCAGAUCAAGAUGCAGCGUAUAAAUAAGAUUUAAUGGGUUACAAUAAAUAUAUUUAUGGAUUAUAUUUUGAAAUAAAUAUAUGAAAUUGGAUUUGAAAGUAAUUUUAUUUAUUUUAAUAAAAUGAUUAUAGCUCUAAAAUAUGUACAUAUCGCCCGUCGCUUUCAGAUAAAAUGAAAUAAGUCGUAACAAAGUAAGUGUACUGGAAAGUGUACUUAGAAAG
rnacentral:ncRNA from 1 species